rnacentral:siRNA from 1 species
AAGGUUGCAGCCUAAUUUCAUGC